ensembl:lncRNA
UCAAUGUGGAGGCUAUAUACAGGGGGUACCGGAACAGUCAAUGUGGAGACUAUAUACAGGGGGUACAGAGUCAAUGUGGAGGCUAUAUACAGGGGGUACCGGUACAGAGUCAAUGUGGAGGCUAUAUACAGGGGGUACCAGUACAGAGUCAAUGUGGAGGCUAUAUACAGGGGGUACCGGUACAGAGUCCAUGUGGAGGCUAUAUACAGGGGGUACCGGUACAGAGUCAAUGUGGAGGCUAUAUACAGGGUGUUACGGUACAGAGUCAAUGUGGAGGCUAUAUACAGGGGGUACCGGAACAGUCAAUGUGGAUACUAUAUACAGGGGGUACAGAGUCAAUGUGGAGGCUAUAUACAGGGGGUACCGGUACAGAGUCAAUGUGGAGGCUAUAUACAGGGGGUACCGGUACUGAGUCAAUGUGGAGGCUAUAUACAGGGGGGUACCGGUACUGAGUCAAUGUGGAGGCUAUAUACAGGGGGUACCGGUACAGAGUCCAUGUGGAGGCUAUAUACAGGGGGUACCGGUACUGAGUCAAUGUGGAGGCUAUAUACAGGGGGUACCGGUACUGAGUCAAUGUGGAGGCUAUAUACAGGGG